UACAGCCAUAGGGGGAGCUCUGGCGGUGUGGCCUCCUAAAAAGUCGGCCUCCACAGGGGAAGUAGGAAAACCCACAGGGGAAGCAGGAAAACAUGUUUUGGCUUUCAAAGUAUUUCACCAAAUGAGCUGGGAGGAGGCUGUUGCUAGAAUGUAGGUGCCUGGUUACUGGGUUCCAAGUUCUGUUUGUAUCUAUCACAAAGGAAGGGAGGGGGGGGCAAAGGGUAGGAUUAUGACAAACAGGUAGUUGUCAUUCAACCCCAUCGGGUGACGCCCACUCCCAGAGCUGCACCUCUCUUAUCCGAGUGGAGGUCAAGUCCAAUGGCACUACAGGGUGCAACACCAUGCCAGUCCAGUAACUCUUUACUCAGGACUUGAAGGCUCGGGCUAUAGUCAACAACUAUUCUCACUGUGUACCCUUUCAGGCCCCUGCUAUGGCCCAGUGUCCUGAGUGGGAGCAGAGACCAAUAUUCUUGUGCAAGUUAAGGCACUCAAUAUGAAAUACAAAAUUAACAGUCACAAUGGGUCAUCAGCUUUGAACAGACAUUUUAUUCCCAAACCGUCAUUACCGAAAAUUUAGAUAAAAUAUAGGGUUCCACUGGACACAGGAUGACAAGAACCUAUGCCCCUGGUCACAUCGGGAAAAGGAUAGACUGCUAUGCUUACAACAACAGGUCCCGUUUGGACUCCAGCUCAAUGCAUGUGAUCUAUUAAUUAUGAAUGGACAUCAGGGACUUUACAACCUGAUUCCCAAGUUUCAUUUAAUCUUGGAUGAGGAGGGUCCCACCAAACAAGAGGACAAUGAUCACUCUCCUUGAAAGAGAAGAAACAUUAAAAGAGGAUCCCAAGAUACUAGACUUCCAGUAACUUGGAGGGAUAUAAAAUCAUUAACAGCCUCAGCUCAACAGCUGUUGGCUCAAAUGGGGUUCAAAUGUACUCUGGAAAACUUAGUCACUACUUUGAUUGCUAAACUCACACAAAACUCUGUAAAAGCUUUGGUCUUAAUAAUAAUGUUGAUCCUUUGUUGUACUCCAGAUGUGGGAAAUUCAGUACAGUCAGACUCCUGGAUUUCUAGAAUCUAUUAUAAUUUCUGGACUUGCUUGGUUGAGAUUGAUAUUAUAUCCCUCCAAAAAUGUCUCAUCGUACCCAUUGUGUCUUAUCAGACUAACUGUGUUCUUACCAUCCCCACAGAAUUUAAUAGGCCACCAUCCUGCACAACAUAUUCUUAAAAGGUUUAUUCCCCUUGAUAAAAACUGUGAUGAUUCCGUGUGAACCUUCUCUCUAAGGCAGAAUUUGACAUUGACAUUCUUCUUAGUGGAUAUCCCUGGAUUAACUCUCAGGGCUUAUAAAACCACUAUGAACCUUGCCUGUGCUAUAGUAAAAAGUAUUAGUCAUACCUCCAUGGCCAUUAAUAAGCUUAAUGAAGAACAAAAACAACAUUGUCAAGCCAUUCUUGACAAUCGGGCUGCAAUUGAUUAUCUGUUAUCAUUAUAUCAUAAAGGAUGUCAGGAGUCUAAUCAUAUGUGUUGCUUCAAUAUAAGUGAUAACAGUAAUUCUAUUUCAAGGGAGUUAGAUUACCUUAAAGAUAUCAUUAAUAAGGUCCCACAAGAUGUUGGAGGUUUAGACUUGUUGGAUUGACUAACUUCGUGGUUACAAAUUUCAUCUGAGUCAAACAAUUAUUCACAGGUUGAUGUUUACUGCUAUUGAGAUUGUUAUGUUACGCUUGUUGUUGUCAGGGCCUGCCCUAUUUUUUGCCCCUGACAGCAUUAAGAAGAAAACAGAUAUUAUUCAUCCAAAAGGCCUUAAAAAAAACAAAAAAAAAAGGGGAGCUAUAGGUAUUCUGAUCAUGGAAAUAUACAGGGAAGCAUUCCCCCAGUGAGCAAACUCCCGGGGAGAAUGGUGGACCUACUCUGGGCUGUCCGGUAUGACUUGUUGGUGCCUCCUGAUGAAGAGCUUUAUACUUCUGUGACAGAGGCUGAACCAUCCUCUGAACUAGUUGGUGGUGAUGGUUUUACAAGCAUACUAAAUGCCACUGAAUUGUAUACAAUAAAAUGGAGAGAUGGUGAAAUUUACACAUGAUCUUUAUCUUAAUAAAUCCAAGAUAGACCUGGAAAUGAGAAAUCCUCAGGUGUGCAGGUGUCUCUGAAGAUGCCCCCUCAGUCCCAAAGAAAAGGAGGCUUGCUGAUGACAGCGCUGAUUGUGAAGACCUUUCCUGAACUCUUCCUUUUCCUCUCUGGCUCUGCACUGACUCUGAAGGGACCAGAGACCAAUUAGCACCUGUGGGGAGAAAAAGGAAUAUAAAAGGCCAGGAAAGAUGAAGGCUCUACUUGAAGUCAAGCUCCGGGCUUUGAUUAUUAUAUGGAAUAGGUGUUGCAGUGAGAGCCUGGGAGAGCAUUCCUCAUCCGAAGGUGACCAGGAAAGUCAUGGGAUUGUCCUUCAAUUCAGUCUUCCCUGGAGCCCCCCCUCAUCAAUUCUCAUCUACCGAGUUAAUCUUCUGCUUUUUUAUUGUGUUAAAAUAUACAUAACAUGAAAUUGUCUUCAUCAUUUCUAAGUGUUCGUUUCUAUGUCACUAAGUGCAUUGUGCAGCCAUCAUCUACAGCUCUUUUCAGAACUAUCGGUCCACCAUUAACACCAUCCCAAAUGGAAUACUCUUGCCCAUUGAAGUAUCAUUCCCUGUGUCCACACCCAGCCUCUGACUGUGGCAGUGGUUGCAGUGACCCAAGAUGGAGGUGACCCGGUUGGUAGAUGGUGGUCCACAUGGGUAUGGCGGGAGGGGAGUCCCAUGUUGGUAGAUGAUGGUCCACAUGCGUGUGGUAGCUGGAGUUCCUGUGCAUGGGCUGUGGCCCAGUGUCCUGAGUGGGAGCAGAGACCAAUAUUCUUGUGCAGGGUGGGUGGCCAGGAGACCUGCGUGGGUGCUAAUGUCAUUGGCCUUACUCAGGCACCCAGAGAUUCUGCAUGGACAAGUGGCCAGGAGUCCUGCACUGACUCUGAGGCCUGGAGACCUGCACAGCAUGGGGGUCAUGAUUCCUGCAAGGAAGCAGCUGUUGGGGGGUCUCUAAUCACUCGCAGAGAACAAGUAUUCCCACUUCUUGCAUUCCAGGUCCUGGAGCAACACAGAAUGCAACCUCUCUCUAAGCCCACCAUCUUGGAUCCACCCUAAUGAAAGUAUUUUUAUCAGUCGUAUUUGAUGUAAAUAACUUGAUAUCUUGUCCACAUUAUAUUUAUUAUAGAUUCUGACCCUUAAAGAUUUACUUAGGAAUAUUAUUUAUGCUUUUUAAGUGCCCUAGAUCAAAUAAUGAAUAAUAAAAUAUUUUAAAAGUAUUUAUCCAUCAAUAGUUUUUAAACAAUCAGUAUUACACGUGAAAGUUGAACCGUGAUCAGUUUUAUUCGGCGUGCAAUAUUCUCCUUAGUGAUAUUGACCAUGGGAGUCUGAGUGUCUUAGAGUCAAAGCAUUUUACUUCCUUCAUCACAGAGAUUUGAUUUUGAGCAAGUCUAGGAAUAUGCUCUGUCCAUGAAGGCCUCCACCACCCUCCGCUUCUCCACUCCAAAUGAGGGAGGGAGGGGAUUUUCUCCCAGCUCCGUUUGGGACACAGCAGAUGAAAGACCACACAGAGGCUCCGAGGAACUGAAGGCAGGUUUCCCACUCAAGUGACCUGGGAUAGAGCCCAGAAUUUGACCCUCUCCCUGAGAAUAAAGAACCAUCAACAAAAGAGAGGCUAUGGUGGACAUGGCACCAAGAAAACCCCAAGUAAACCCUCCAGUUUCACAUGCUUUGAGUUACUGGCUUUUAGUUCACUUAAAAAUCACUCCUUUGGGAUGUCCACCUGCUGAGCAAUGUGUUAAGAGUCUCUGGUGUGUGAGUCUUGACCAUAAAUAAGUCACUUUCCAGGGAUGUGAAGACCACAUCUAUCAAAACCACCGACUCUUCAUUUUGAUCUGAAAGUGUCUAACAAGUGACUUUGAUGUCAGAAGCCUAAAAACUCCACCCUCACCUCAAGCUGACACCUCCCUGUUCCAAAAAUAUGACUCAUGAAGAGCCAUCAGUGUAGACUGUGCAUGCAGUCUACACUGCAUGACUGCUUCAUCUCCAAUCACCACCACCUACUCCUUCAUCCCAUAAAUGACCCUGAAGCCCAGCCUCAGGGAGGCAGAUUUGACAUUUGAGACUCCCAUGUUCAUACUUGGCUGCCUUGUAAAAAAAAAAAAAGUUAUUUUUCAUUUGCAAAAUGCUUUGACUCUAGGAAGG